UGGGGAAUAUUGCACAAUGGGCGCAAGCCUGAUGCAGCCAUGCCGCGUGUAUGAAGAAGGCCUUCGGGUUGUAAAGUACUUUCAGCGGGGAGGAAGGUGUUGAGGUUAAUAACCUCAGCAAUUGACGUUACCCGCAGAAGAAGCACCGGCUAACUCCGUGCCAGCAGCCGCGGUAAUACGGAGGGUGCAAGCGUUAACCGGAAUUACUGGGCGUAAAGCGCACGCAGGCGGUCUGUCAAGUCGGAUGUGAAAUCCCCGGGCUCAACCUGGGAACUGCAUUCGAAACUGGCAGGCUAGAGUCUUGUAGAGGGGGGUAGAAUUCCAGGUGUAGCGGUGAAAUGCGUAGAGAUCUGGAGGAAUACCGGUGGCGAAGGCGGCCCCCUGGACAAAGACUGACGCUCAGGUGCGAAAGCGUGGGGAGCAAACA
rnacentral:rRNA from 1 species